ensembl:antisense 1700058P15Rik RIKEN cDNA 1700058P15 gene
AGAUCUUUGGGGCCAGCAGAACAGUAUUGGAGAACAUCCAGGAGCAAGCUUGCCAAAUGUACAUAGCCUCCUGCCAACUGUGACUAGAGAUGGAUAGCUCGAGCCACUGAGGAUUCUGGGGACUCAGCAGGAAUGAGUGAUAGACUGAGGGGCAAGCAAGGACAAGCUACAGUUCACACUCUGCCACUCAACAGGACCCCUUCCCACUGCUAAAUUCCAGGAGAGGUUGGAAAGUUAAAGAAGGGGCCUGCAAGAUAGCUCAGCAGAGAGAGAUGCUUGUACCAGCAGAACCACCUGAUUUAAUCCCAAAGACCUCUGUGAAGGCUGAUGGAGAGAACUGAGUCCUGCAGCUUAUCCUCUAACCCCCACAUAAACAGACAUACACAGUGAAUAAAUAAAUGUAGCAAGACUUU